UACGUAGGGGGCUAGCGUUGUCCGGAAUCAUUGGGCGUAAAGCGCGUGUAGGCGGCCCGGUAAGUCCGCUGUGAAAGUCAAGGGCUCAACCCUUGAAAGCCGGUGGAUACUGUCGGGCUAGAGUGCAGGAGAGGCGAGUGGAAUUCCUGGUGUAGCGGUGAAAUGCGCAGAUAUCAGGGGGAACACCAAUGGCGAAGGCAGCUCGCUGGGACGUGACUGACGCUGAGACGCGAAAGCGUGGGGAGCAAACAGG
rnacentral:rRNA from 1 species